CCUUCUCUAGGAGAGAGGUCAUAAAAAAAUUUACCUUCUUCUACCAACCUGUUCUUCAUGUUACAGACUCCAUUGAGAACCUCUCCUUUCACCCAUCAAGAGGCUCUACAAACAGACUUAUUUUUAUUGAACUCUGGGAUUCAGGGGACCCCAGAAACAAAUGAACUCCAAAGGCCAGUAUCUGCAGAGCUGAUGGCACUGGAAGCCUAUUGAACCAUCCUGAAUCCUCUAUAAAGGAGGUCAGGUCAGCAAAGUUAUAGGAAUGGAAAAGUGAUUCCUUCUAAGUAGGAACUACAGGAAAUGGUCCUCCAAAAGUAGCCCUGGUUCUAGAAAGGAAAUAUGGGAUAUAGCGGGGUGGGGAUGGGAUAAAAUGCUCUGGGAGAAGAUGGACUACAAUAGGAUGGUGUAGAAUAGGUUGAGGUGGCUUCAGACAUAGUCACAACAUUUCUAUCUUAGGGACAGAGGAUAAAUCUGUGAUUCCAUCAAAGAAGAGAGCUCCCAGAGAGGAUCUUCUUCUACCAGUUCAGGGUCCACUUCAGUGAUCUCCUGAUCCAAAGCAGAGACCUCAGGGAUAUAGUUACACCUUCUUUCUCUUUCUUCUUCCUGCAAUUUGAUGGAGAUAACUCUCACAAGGCCUCCCUGGAUCGGCUUCAUCAGAUGAAUAAUAUAUUCUGCAAUCUUGUUGCAAAGCUUCUUGCAGAGGAUGAUGGUGAUCUUCCUGCACACAGUUGUUGCCCAGAUACACAUAAAAGGAUACAGAAGACUGGAGGACUCUGUUAUCCCCUUGUUCAGAUGCCCUCGAUGCUUUCCCACAGCCUAUGGGGAAGAUGCUAAGACAAGAAUGGGCACUCGCUGGAAUUCCCAGAAGCAAUACGCACAGCAGGCAGUGCAGGGACCUGUCACUGAGGAAAAGAGCAAAGAAAUGGAAACAAAAGAGAUGCCCAUCGGUUAGAUGAAACAAAUUGUGGUACUUGAAUGUGAAGGAUAUUGCUAGGCCAUAAAGGAUGAUGAAUAUGAAGAAUUCAGAAAUUCAUGGGAAGACAAAUCAACUGGUGCAUAAUGAAGAAAGUGGAACCAGAAAAUAACACAUAUCAGGACUACAACCAUGUAAAUGGAAAGAGCUAUGAUAUCAGUAAAAACAACAAAACCAAAUUGAAUAUUGGAUAGAUAUAAUGACCAAAUUUGGCCCCAAAGAAGAGAGGAAAAAUGCACUUCCCUCCCUUUUUUGUUGAGGUGGAUAUGGAAUGUCAAAUAUAUACUUCUUGUUUGUUUUGUUCAACUUUUCCCCCUUUUUAUUCUUUAUUUAAACAUUUUUUUAAACUAAUGCAUUGGAUGAGGGAGGGCAGGUGUAUUCAGAAAUUAAGAUACUGUAGAAACAAAAGAUAUUAAUAAAAAAAUUUUUCCAUUCUGCUAGGUAAUAGUC
rnacentral:lncRNA from 1 species